rnacentral:lncRNA from 1 species
CACUCACAUGUCAUGGUGAGUUAAGCAUUGCAUCAUCCACUAAAAAAUCUGGUGGAAGUAAAACAAAGGGAAGGCCAUGGCAUUGAUGAAUUUUAUGGGGUAUGCAUGGUUUUGAGUGAAGUUUUGGCCAAUCCUUCUAGAAAUUUAUCCCUUCUUGCAACUUGUAUUUGUUUCACCAGAUUUUUAGCAUGUUCCUAGCCUCUUUUUUUCUUCAAAUUCGUCCAUCCAUCUUGCUCAUAUCAUAAGUAAUCCAUUCCAAGCUCAAAACUGCUCCAAAAUGCACCAAAAUGCACUUUCUUGCUACCUUAACCCUUUGGACCUACAAACACACGAAAAUGGCUUAAAGUACUAAAAUAACUAAGAACUAAUAACGUAAAUGCAAGAAAACUAGUUAACUAAGUCGCAUAAAUAUGCGUCUCUCAGCACCGCCCUUCGAAUCUCGAGAGCCAGACUCCCAACAGGAUUACUUUCUCAAAAAAUCGAAGAGACACUGCUCUCUGAAUCUCAAGAGUCAGACUCCCAACAGGAUUGCUUUCUUAAAAAUUGAAGAGGCACUAUUCUCUGAAUCUCGAGAGCCAGAUCCCCGAUAGGAUUGCUUGUUCGAAAACCGAAGAGGCACCGCUAUCUGAACUUCGAGACCCAGAUUUCCUUGGAUAAAGCUUGUCUGCAAUCUUCACACGCAACGUCAGCUUUCCAAGAAGGGUAAAGGAAAACACGCGAAGCUUGCAGCUCCCACUACAUUGCUAUAACCAAGAAGGGUAAAGGAAUAGCACUACUACUUGUUGUUAGGGAGACUUCUAUAUAUGUCG